GAUGAACGCUAGCUACAGGCUUAACACAUGCAAGUCGAGGGGAAACGGCAUCGAAAGCUUGCUUUUGAUGGGCGUCGACCGGCGCACGGGUGAGUAACGCGUAUCCAACCUGCCCAUCACUUGGGAAUAACCUUGCGAAAGUAAGACUAAUGCCCAAUGACAUCCCACGAAGGCAUCCGAAUGGGAUUAAAGAUUUAUCGGUGAUGGAUGGGGAUGCGUCUGAUUAGCUUGUUGGCGGGGUGACGGCCCACCAAGGCAACGAUCAGUAGGGGUUCUGAGAGGAAGGUCCCCCACAUUGGAACUGAGACACGGUCCAAACUCCUACGGGAGGCAGCAGUGAGGAAUAUUGGUCAAUGGGCGAGAGCCUGAACCAGCCAAGUAGCGUGCAGGAUGACGGCCAUAUGGGUUGUAAACUGCUUUUAUAAGGGAAUAAAGUGGGUCACGUGUGACUUUUUGCAUGUACCUUAUGAAUAAGAACCGGCUAAUUCCGUG
rnacentral:rRNA from 1 species